CAGGAUGUAGCUCAGUCUGCUUAGAGCGAGCGCCUCUGACGCGCGAGGCGCAGGUUCGGAUCCUGCCAUCCUGA
rnacentral:tRNA from 1 species